CCUACGGGAGGCUGCAGUGGGGGAUAUUGCACAAUGGGGGGAACCCUGAUGCAGCGACGCCGCGUGGGUGAAGAAGCGCCUCGGCGCGUAAAGCCCUGUCAGCAGGGAAGAAAAUGACGGUACCUGAAGAAGAAGCCCCGGCUAACUACGUGCCAGCAGCCGCGGUAAUACGUAGGGGGCAAGCGUUAGCCGGAUUUACUGGGUGUAAAGGGGGCGCAGACGGCGAUGCAAGCCAGGAGUGAAAGCCCGGGGCCCAACCCCGGGACUGCUCUUGGAACUGCGUGGCUGGAGUGCAGGAGGGGCAGGCGGAAUUCCUGGUGUAGCGGUGAAAUGCGGAGAUAUCAGGAGGAACACCGGUGGCGAAGGCGGCCCGCUGGACUGCAACUGACGUUGAGGCCCGAAAGCGUGGGGAGCAAACAGGAUUAGAUACCCUUGUAGUC
rnacentral:rRNA from 1 species